rnacentral:rRNA from 1 species
UACGAAGGGGGCUAGCGUUGCUCGGAAUCACUGGGCGUAAAGCGCACGUAGGCGGCAUGGUAAGUUGCAUGUAAAAGGCGGCAGCUCAACUGCCGAGUGUGGUGCAAGACUGCCAGGCUUGAGGCAAGUAAAAGAAUGUGGAACUCCGAGUGUAGCGGUGGAAUGCGUAGAGAUUCGGAAGAACACCCAUGGCGAAGGCAGCAUUCUGGACUUGACCUGACGCUGAGGAGCGAAAGCCAGGGGAGCAAACGGG